GGUAAGAUGGCUGAGAAUAAGCGGCGGACUGUAGUCCCGACGACAAGGUUGAUACCUUUUUUACC
rnacentral:tRNA from 1 species